UUCCUCAUAUCAAAAGGUAGGACCAUUAGCUAGGUGAUUAGCCCUAGGUGGGAAAUGAACCGUCUCUAAUCAGAACACUAACUUUUUGAGGAAGUCUGUGGAAGUUCUGAAGUCCCACCCCAUCCCAGGACCUUUAUUUAAUUCUCUUUAGUUCUUCUGCCACAGGGAAGCAGCCAGCGACUAAUAAAAGAUUUGAUCUUGCCAUAAUUUCCCAAGCAGGACAUCUUCUGGAAGGUGUAAAGAGUUGCCCUGUGAAAGGUAUGGCUGAGAGAAUCUUAAUACAAAGCUGAAGACCAAUUGUGAAUUUUAUUACAUUACCAUUAGUACUAUUACCAUAUGAGGUUGUAAGAAUACAUGGUCCUUUGCAGUGGAAAACGCACUAAAUGACAAAGUCCCUCCCCUGAAGAAGCAACAAAUUAAUGCCGUAAGUACCAAGCAGGGUUAUGUGUGUUUGUCUUGUGGGAUGAAUAAGCAGACCGAGAACUACAGAUUUUUGCUUCCUUAAUUUUCAAUUCAUUACAAUUAAAUUGGUGUGCUCAGAAUUGGAUGUAUUAUACAUUAUGGUUUUUAAAGAUCUUUUUACAGAACUGGCUGACUUUUUAUAUCAGCCAAAAGGAAUGCCCAUUGGAAUUAAAAUAUCAUAACAGUUAGUGUUUCUUUUGGCAUUUGAAAUGGUUAAAUAUGCAAAGCAAAAGAGAAACAAAUAAAUCUCAGCUAAAUAUUCAGUUUAAAAGCCGAAAGGAGCAAAAGUCAGGGAAUUCAAGGCAAGAAUGAUAAAAUAACCAGACUGCAUUAUUAGAAAUUGAUAUAGUUUAUAUAAAUUUAUAAAUAUAUAUUAAUUAUAGUCAUUCUGAAUGAAUUAAACUAAGGAAUACUAUUACAAUUUGUUUUUCUCGUCAUUUUUAAUGAGAAUGUUGAUGAUAUUUAAAGUUCAAUUUUUCUUUUCCUAGUUUAACUAAUCAAGGUUAUGAAAUUAAAAGACAGCAAAACCUAUAAGCAAUUAUCUCUGUCCAAAUGGAUAUAGCAGCCCCAAACCACAGCUACAUGACUAUCAAACAAUGAUUAUGAAAACCACAAUUGAGAAAAGCAUCAGGGAAUGAUAUUGCAAAACCACAGCAACAAAUGUGUCUGUGAUAUUGAAAACCACAAUUCACAACUACUACCCUGUGUAUCGCAAAUUACUAUUUAACUAUAAAUGUGAAAAUGUAUAAGUAACAGCACAAAACAAUUUCUCAUUUACUUAAAAAUGAGUUAUUCAUUUUUUGGACUCACUGAUUUCAUCUCUACAUAAUGGUUCAUUUUGAAAAGUUUCUGCUUUCAAAGACAAAUCAUUUAAGAAUCACAUAUGUAAGUUACUUUAAACGCAGAAAAUAUGCAACUUUUAAUAACAUUUCCUUAAGUACUAAAAGAAUUGAUCUGAAACCAAUCUGAAAUAAAGAAACAUUUACUUCAGUCUGGCUUUCUUCAUAAAGUUCUUCAGGAGUGAAAAGGGAUGUGAGUGGACACUGCUUACGGAAAAAAAAAGCUUGAAGUAUUCUAUUACAACUUCAGUGAAAAUAUAAUUGUAUAUACUCUUAAUCGUCCAUUUAGCCGAAAACAUAUAUCUGACAAUAAAAUGAGAUGCCACUACCAAAACUACUUUAAUGUAGAAAGUCAAAGGUUUAUUUACAAGUAAAUAAAAGCAAUAUUGUUUGCAGGUUUAUAGGGUUGCCAGAUUUCAAAAAUUAAAAUAGGAUGCUCUAUUAAAUUUGUAUUUCAAAUAAGCAACUUUUUUUUAGUAUUAAUCAGUUCCAUGCAAUAUUUGGUACAUACUUAUCUUAAAAAACAAUUGUUCAUAUCCUGUACUUUAUUGUAUUUUAUGACAAACCUACAAAUUUAGCAUGUUACCAUUUUCACAAAUUUAUGGUUGUUUUACAAAUAACACUGUUUAUAGAAAAGUCUAAAAAACCCUAAAGUGCUUCCCACAGACAUAUAUAUAAUUCUUGAACAUCGUAUUAUUUAAGGAUGGCAAGGUAGAAGAAUAAAUUUCUAUACAAAAAUUCUUACUUUAUUUGGCACAGUACAGAAAUGUGCUCUCAGUGUAAAUGGAUUGCAUUCAUGUAUGUCUUACUCUUGGAUUUGUUUUUAAAAUGUGUUUUUUCCUCCAAGGGAUUGACAAAUUGAUAAAGCAACCUUCCAGGCCACAUCUUAUUAGGCAGCAAGCUGCCUCCUUUAUUAUGGGAGUAAACAAUAUUCAAAAGCUUCAGAAAGACUUAAUUUUUUGCCCUUGUAUCCUCACCAGAAAUUGAAUACAGUUUAUCUGCCUUGAUUUAAGAUUGUGACACUGAAUUGAACAAGAAUGCAGUAUGAAAAUAGUGUUUCGGAUUUGUACAUCUUUAUAAUUUGAGCAGUUUAAAAAUAAAAAUCAACAAAUUCAUCUAAAUGGCAUUCCUAUGUUAUAACUAUGAAAAGGACUAUGUGCUUACUUGCAAAGGAGCCAAGGGCUUUGAAAACAUUCAGUCUACAUCAGGGGUUUAACUUGGGCUUCGUGUAGACGGUCAAUCUCUCAAAAGAAGUUUGUAUGUACAAAAAAUAUGUUCUAAGGAGCAAAUCUAUUGAAUUCACUGGAUACUAAAAAUGUCUGUGAAAAAGCCAUCUGUGGACCAUUACGAGUUAAGAAUCACUAUUCUCUUUAUGUGUAAAUUUUUAUGGUGUACUGAAAACCAAAGUGUGGAUGACUUCAGUUUUUACUCUUUGCAAAUCAUCCUUUAUGUCCAAGGUACUACUCUGAUAGAAGAGAGUCACGGGAUCAACUCUAUUUAAAAAAAAAAAAAAAGAAGAAGUUCUUUAUUGCUAAGUCUAUAUAAUACAUCGCAUCUUCAAGUAUAAAAUAAAUAUUAAAGGACUAUCGCCCAAAAUUUUAGUAGACAUGUGUGGACUUUGCCUGCCUAGCAUCCAUUCUCUUUUCAGGUAAUAAUGCUGUGAUAUCUUUUAAAGAAUAACUCCUCCUCAUCCACUAUUUGGUCAUGUGAUACAAAUGUGACUGUCCUCAAUCCCUGACCAGAAUACUCUAGGUGUUUGUCUACAGUGAUUGGUUCAGUGGCCCAGAUUAUUCCCAUUAGAGUCAGCCCUGGAACUUUUUCCUGUUCCAAUGGAACCACUGAGGAAAAGGUGCUGUUUUUCUGCUGGGCUACACUGGGAGAAUGCAAAUCCUGCUAUGCAAAUCUGCUGUUGGCCAUCCUUAUUGGAAGAAACUAUUAAGAACACUGCCAACACAGAGGACUAAUUUUGUCUUAUCUUAGAAUCUGAUUUUUGGGAAUUCCAAACUAAGAUACCCAUCAACAUUCCAAUAUUACUUUGUUUUGGAUCCAUCAACAUUAUCUUUGUGUCUCCAUAAAUAUUAGAGUCAUUUCUAUUAUAUCUCACUUUCAUCUAUUUGACCAGGCUAACAUUUAGGCACCUUUGUAGUCGUAGUAUAAAUGUCAUUUUUCACAGGAAGAUAUCACUUAUCUCCCAGUCUGAAUGAGAUACUUCUCCUUUGCUACCAUAACACCUUUUUUGUCUGCAUAUCACUUGUUGCAUUGUAUUACAUUGACAAUUUAGUUACAUAAAAUCUAAUCCUCACCAGCCAAUACACCUGUCCCUCUAAACCUAACUAGAUAGAAAGGUUGGUGAGAGCAAGAAACAUCUUUUUUCAGAACCAUAUCCUCCCCAGUGCUGGACACAUAGAAGGUCCUAAUAUAUUAUUGAAAGAAAAAGUGAAUUCAGAAUUAACCUGUCUUAUGUGGGAACUCCUGCCAUUCUCAGUCCCCAUCCACAUAGUCACAGGUACAGGAGAUGGCAGCCAUAUUUGUACACCAUAACUCUGUGUUCCUGUUGGUGGAUACUUGGGUGACCAACAGGACCACGAGGGCAUCCCUGGCUCAAAUAUGACCAAUCAAAUUCCUCCCUUAGAAAUCUAGGGUUAGUUUCAGGAGUUUCAUCCUUACAUAGGCUGAUCUCUCAAAUGAAGAAGUAAAACCUUUGGCAUUAUGGCAUGGUUAUGACCAUCUGAACAGAGUAGCAGUGAUAGUUUUUCUGUAGAGAGAAAAGUAAAUAAAACAAAUGUCCUGAGAUAAAGUAGAGAAGGGAGUAUGAAGUGGAAUCCCAUGUCUUGUUCCAGCCCCUUCAUGGACUGCAGAAGCACUUCUGCCCUUGAUGUCACUGAGAUACUUAGGAUUUCUUAAAAUAAAUUCCUCCCAACCAAUCUUUCCUUUUUUCACUUAUUUUUGUCCUAAAUUAGCAUUAGUUGAUUCCUGUUACAUUCAAGCCAAAAGACUAAAUAAACUAAGACAAAAAUUAACCAUCUAUGACUCCAGUUUGCUUGACUGAAUAUUUGAAUACUUAGAAAUAGCAGCUUAACUGAAUUUUCAACUUUCUUCCAGAAAAGCACUGUAUUAAUCUGGGUUCUUCGGAUAAACAGAACCAACAG